GAUGAACGCUAGCUACAGGCUUAACACAUGCAAGUCGAGGGGAAACGAUAGAGAAAGCUUGCUUUUUCUAGGCGUCGACCGGCGCACGGGUGAGUAACGCGUAUCCAACCUGCCCACCACUUGGGGAUAACUUUGCGAAAGUAAGACUAAUACCCAAUGAUAUCUCUAGAAGACAUCUAAAAGAGAUUAAAGAUUUAUCGGUGAUGGAUGGGGAUGCGUCUGAUUAGCUUGUUGGCGGGGUAACGGCCCACCAAGGCUACGAUCAGUAGGGGUUCUGAGAGGAAGGUCCCCCACAUUGGACCUGAGUCACGGUCCAAACUCCUACGGGAGGCAGCAGUGAGGAAUAUUGGUCAAUGGACGGGAGUCUGAACCAGCCAAGUAGCGUGCAGGAUGACGGCCCUAUGGGUUGUAAACUGCUUUUAUAAGGGAAUAAAGUGAGUCUCGUGAGACUUUUUGCAUGUACCUUAUGAAUAAGGACCGGCUAAUUCCGUGCCAGCCGCCGCAGUAA
rnacentral:rRNA from 1 species